AUUGAACGCUGGCGGAAUGCUUUACACAUGCAAGUCGAACGGCAGCACGGGGGCAGCCCUGGUGGCGAGUGGCGAACGGGUGAGUAAUACAUCGGAACGUGCCCGGUCGUGGGGGAUAACGUAGCGAAAGUUACGCUAAUACCGCAUACGAUCUGAGGGUGAAAGCGGGGGACCUUCGGGCCUCGCGCGAUCGGAGCGGCCGAUGUCAGAUUAGGUAGUUGGUGGGGUAAAGGCCUACCAAGCCGACGAUCUGUAGCUGGUCUGAGAGGACGACCAGCCACACUGGGACUGAGACACGGCCCAGACUCCUACGGGAGGCAGCAGUGGGGAAUUUUGGACAAUGGGCGCAAGCCUGAUCCAGCCAUUCCGCGUGCAGGACGAAGGCCUUCGGGUUGUAAACUGCUUUUGUACGGAACGAUAAGGCUCUGGCUAAUACCUGGGGCUCAUGACGGUACCGUAAGAAUAAGCACCGGCUAACUACGUG
rnacentral:rRNA from 1 species